rnacentral:rRNA from 1 species
ACUGAACGCUGGCGGCAUGCUUUACACAUGCAAGUCGAACGGUAACAGGCCUUCGGGUGCUGACGAGUGGCGAACGGGUGAGUAAUGCAUCGGAACGUACCCAGAGGUGGGGGAUAACGCAGCGAAAGCUGUGCUAAUACCGCAUGUGAUCUGAGGAUGAAAGCGGGGGACCGAGCAGCAAUGUUUGGCCUCGCGCCUUUGGAGCGGCCGAUGUCGGAUUAGCUAGUUGGUGGGGUAAAGGCCUACCAAGGCGACGAUCCGUAGCUGGUCUGAGAGGACGACCAGCCACACUGGGACUGAGACACGGCCCAGACUCCUACGGGAGGCAGCAGUGGGGAAUUUUGGACAAUGGGCGCAAGCCUGAUCCAGCAAUGCCGCGUGCGGGAAGAAGGCCUUCGGGUUGUAAACCGCUUUUGGCAGGAACGAAACGGUGUCCGCUAAUACCGGGCGCUAAUGACGGUACCUGCAGAAUAAGCACCGGCUAACUACGUG